ensembl:lncRNA
AUUCUGGGUUUCACGCUGCUCUUCCAGUUUGGUUUGGAGGCUCUUCUUAGGGCAGAGUGGUUGGGCGUGUUCUUUUUGCGAUGGGUGCUGCCCACGUUGACUCUCUGUUGUGCUCAGCAUCGUCUCCUCUGUGUCUGGGGCUGCUGGCACGUUGUCUCUUGGUGGUGCAACCCAAGCUGUGCUUUCAGGGUGCAGUGUCACCACUUCACCUGUGGGCAGGGGAUCCUCUGGCUGAACGUCGCUGGUGCUGCUGUUCCCCAGCAGCUUGGGCACUGGCACAAAAAUGGGCUAAAAAUCCAUACGGAGAGCUACGGAGAUGCUGAGAGCCGCUGUGCUCCCUUCCUGGGUCCAGCAGAGGUAUUCUGGAAGAAGCAUGCUCUUGACUGACAAAGCACAGGGACAAAGCAGCUGCUGAGGAUACCAAGCACAGGUUGGUGGUUGGAUGCAGUUACAGGAGAAGAUGGAUGGUUACGGGUUUAAGCACAGCCUCUUGUACAGUGUCAUGGCCAUCUUUCUGGGCUUUUUUGUCUUCUUCAAUCUGUUCGUACUGAGUUGCAGCGAGGUCAGAGAAGCACAUGGGGAUGGGGGUGGGAGAAGAUCACCCACCCCCAUGGUUUGCAUUGGCAGGGCUUCACUCAGGAGGACGAAAGCUGCUGCAGAGCAGUGCGGGCGGCUGCAGUGUGGGCCAGAAAGCAAAAUAUCCAGAGAGAGCAGAGGAAGGAUGGGAGCAAAGACACAGACCAGCAGCCAAGAGCCCUUUCCAGGAGUGGCUUGGAUUCACUUUCUGCUCGAGGGAGGUCGCACAGCACAGCAUCCAAGACGUUACCACGGGCUCAAAAUCCAUGCUGCAGAGCCUACAGGAGAGCUUUGCACCACUUGAUAAAGGGCUUCUGCAAAGCCAGCUUGAAAAAAUCCCUCAGUCUGAAGAGUUCUAUGAGCUGGUGGAAGACGUCAAAAAGAAGACGUGCCUCUCUGAUAUCAUCACUUACAGAGGAAUUUUGUUUCAGCUUCCACUUUGCUCACCUGUAGAUGACAGCCCUGAGCACACAGGAUCGCGAAAUGAAGAGGUUGCAGCUCCUCUAUCAUGAACUUACUGAUGUAGUGAGAAAGAAGAGAAGAACAUUUGCUGGAUGAGUUGGAGGAGGAAAGUGAAGAUCUCUGCUAGGGGGACAUGAAGCUCAUUGUGUCUCCACCCAGAGCCUUCCCUUCAAGCGUUCCUUUAAAUUACAUCUACAGUUCAAAUAGUUCAGAGGAGAUCCUCUUUCCCUGGGCUGCUCUGAGUCAGGGGUUGCUGAGCUGUGCUACGGCUGCAGAUCGUAAUGGCUCUGAGCAAAGCAGCUCCUUUUGUGCCGGAUGGCAGCCGGUGUCCUCGAGGAACCCACACAGCUGUUUCAAUGCACACCCACCCACUCGGUAAUCAGAGAGGGAAGAGGGAGACCUCCGCACAGCACGGAGUGUACAGGUCAUGGUACAGCUCCUCAUCGUGUGCCUGGGCAUGAUGACUGUGAUGGUGGGACUCGACUCCGAGGGUGGCAGAGAGGGAGGCACCGUGCCCUGCAACCGGAAUCAGCAGUGAGGUUGGGUUUGCACGGCUCUGCUUGGCCAAGGCUCUGCCUGCUGGUAGCACAGCACUGGGAGCUUGGAGCUGCAAUGGGAGCUCCUCGUAAAAGGGCUGGAGAGAAACCCCCGACACCAGAUCCUCCUCAAUUUGUUUUUCAUGUUCUCGUUUGUAAUAAUCUUGAGUUUUAUGAGGGAUACUUCCUAAAACUUCCCCAACAUGAUGGAAACACAUGUGGUGCCGUAAUACACGAUGUGGCCAUUUUGGGGGAGAGACUAGAUCAAAACCUGCUUCCUUCUGACAGUUAUAUGGGAUUUGUUCCAGGGGACCGGACAAGUGGAGGAGUGCAGGUACAGAUUUCCCCCCUAAAGCACUGCAUGUGCAUCUCUGCAUCGACGUGGAUUCUUUUGCUCAUAUAUUAUUAAACAUGGCUCUCCCCUCUUUCUCUAGGGUUAACC